ACAUGUUGUUUUGUUUAACAAUAAUAAUAAAAAUAUGGCUAAAGACAGGGAAAAUGAAUUAAGAAUAUACAAGAAAAGCAAAUUUGACUUAGAUGCUUGUGAGAUUUUAUCCAAAAUUCCAGGCAUACUAAAUAAUAUUAGAGUACAAGCAGUGAUGGAAGAGAGGAAUAAAGAUAGAAGUCAAUGAAAGGAGAGAAAAGUCUGAAGAAAUGCCACCUUCCUCCCAAUUUCCCGGAUUGAAUGUGUCAUUUAAAUCCAUUAAUUCUUCCACAGAAACAUGUCAUGUCCAUUCACUCCUUUUUCAUUUUCCUCUGGUCCACUGACAUGUGGCCAGUAGACAUAAAGACAAUUGAAAAUUUUAAUCAUGUUAUUUUUCUGUCCAAACAAUGGCCCCCACAGAUCUUCACAAGAGUCAAACUCAGCUUGGCCUCAAGGCCUGACUGCCUCCCAGUCCCACAAAUACUUCCCGUAAUUAAGUCCCAUAACUCACCUUUCCAAACCCUUAAAAAAAUUAAACUGGAUUAUUUCUGUCCUCUGAACAUUCGUCUCCUUCCCUACAACUUGGUUCCCCUACUUUUUUUUCUCCUUGUAUUAUUUUCCCUGCUUAGUCUCACCAUGCCAAUGUCCCCUCUGCUUCAUAAGUGACAAGGUGAUAUCCUGGUAACGAUGAGGCCUUCCCAGAAUAGACCCUCAACCCAUUUCCUCUGUCUGCCUCUUUGUAGAAAAACUUUAGUCAAAGAAUCAAUUUAAUCAGAGAAGUGAGAAAAUGCAGAAAGAAAGAAAAAAAGCAGUCAAGCAACACAAAAUAAUAACAGUUUAGCUAUUCAACAAAGUCAAAGACUUUUAGUUCUUCUUCAAGGACUACAGAUAAAAGUAUAUGUCCUUGGAGCUGUUUUACAGGUGCUGAAGCCUCCACAGGUUCUAAUAAGUCAACUGUAUGCUGCCCCUAAGCAUGCAGACCCCAGACAGGUUGGAACCAGAAGUUUGAUGAUGCUGGUUCCCAAUUACCUCCCCACCCAGCAAUCAGAAGAAUGUCCAUGAGCUGAUCAAGCCCCACCCUUUGAACACCAUAAGGCUCCCCGAUACCUGCUCCAGGACAGGACACAAAGUUUUGAGGGCACUAGUCUGCAGUGGCCCCCUUUGCCUGGCAAAGCAAUAAAGCUACUCUUUUCUAUUUUACCUCAAACUCUGUCUCCAUGAUUCAAUUCAGUGCCAGUGUCCAGAGGCUGAGUUUUGGCAAGAAAGAGGCAACUCUUUGUACAUGUCUUGAGUUCAAAUCUUUGUUUCCUAUCUGUGCAAUCUUAGUUCCUUAAACUUCUAUGACUCACGGACCUCGAGUGUAAAAAGGGAAUACAAUACGAUGAUAAUUAGAGGAUUUUUGUCUAUAUUAUGCUAGUUAGUACAUGUAAAGCCAGGUAAGUAAUGAACACUGAACAAGUUUUAGCUCUCUCUAGGUGCUGAAUUUGUAAGGACUAUUGAAGCCAUUUAAUUUGUAAUUAAUUAUAUGGUGUCCAUUGUAAUUUUGCAACAUUUAGUUGAGCAGUUUAUUGAUUUCUCAUAUGCUGCUUUGGCUUUUUGAACCUAUAUGUUUUGUCUUCGCAACUAUAAACCUUGAAUUCUAUACACCACUACUCCCUUUCCACUCACAAAUUUUCAAACAAAUACAAAUUAAAGACAUUUAAAAAUACAGGCAUUGAACUAGAAGUGGGAAAAUCGAAUCCUAAUUCCAGAUAACUACUAACUAUAAUUGAUACAGGAAAAUCAGAUAGUUCCUCUAAAUCUGUUCAUUCAUAAAAUAAGUAUUCUCUUGGAUUCUUGAUGAUCUUUAGCUAUAGGUGGUUGAAAGCACUUUGAACAAGAGGUUUGUACUGUUAUAAGAUGCUGAGGUUAUAGUCAUUGUAUGGCCUCAACAAGUAAUUGUUAUUUGAUUUACUGACAAAAUGGCACAGAAUUUAAGUAAUUACUUUGAACUGAAGAACUUUUAAUUAAUUUAUUUUAUCUAUGCAGAAGUUUGAAUUAAGAGUUUAGAGACCAGAGCUCUAGUUAUUAACCCACUUACUUUUCUCUUUGACCUUUAGUAUGUCACUUAUCCUAAUUGAAUGCCAUCCUAAUCCUCCUGGUGAAUAAUAACAGCCUGGUGUUGACCAAUGGAAGAGAUUUCGGAUACAAAAAAAAGACACAUUCCUCAAGACGAUUUACUGCCCUCUGCUGGAAAACUGUGAAAAUAAAUAUGUGUUCUACCAGGAUGACUAUGUUAGCGCCCCCUAAGGUUGUUCAUCACACAGCUUUUAUAAUCAUUCAGAUGAAUGCUGCCUAAUAAGAUGUCUGAGACACUGUAUGUAAUGAUGAAUGAGCCAUUCUCAUCAAUGAAUUUAGCUCUGCCCACUCAAUACCUUUUUCUAAUCACUGAGCAGCUUAUGAUAUUUUUAAAAAAAUAAUGUUUUUAAACCAUAGACAGAUUUAUAUACAUAUAUGUAUGUAUGUAUAUUAUACAGAAAUAUAAACAAUGUGUGUAUAGUAGGGCUGACAUUUUAUAAGAUGCCCACCCAUGCUUCUUAUGACAGUUGCUCAAGCAGCACAGCAAAGCUAACUAGCCAGAUAUUUUUCUAUCAGAUUCUCAAAUAAAUAAUGGCUCUGUGAGAUGAAGUUACUUCUUCAAAGUCAAAAAGACUUUUCGUAAGUCUUCUGAUUCCAAAUCCAGUGUUUUUCUCCAUUUCUGCCCAGAAAACUUUCAUUAAUUGCCCUGAAAUUCUUCAAAGGAUCAUUUGCUGAUUGAUAUGCUUAUAAAUACUCUCAAAAUUGUCUCAUUCGCCUCUUAACUGUUUAAAGUCAGGCAAGUUUAUUUCCUUACAUCAUAGCUUUCUAAUAUCUCUCAUAAUGUUUGAUGAAUUGUUAGUGGCACAAAUGAAUAAGUGAAACUAGGAAGUAUGUUGAUAGCUAUUGGAGUUCAGCAAUAUUAUUAUAAUUGUAAAUAGCUAGAAGGUAUUAAAAUAUUUAAAAGAGUGCCAUACAGAACCACUUUUAUUUGCUGAACAAUUAAAGAUACCUUGGCUCUCUGAAGCGCAGGAAUAUUACAUUUCAUAAAAGCAUAAAAGCACUGGUUGCAUCUUAAAGUGUUCUCAUAUCACACAGUUUGGAAAAUUAAAACAAAUUUAUAAUCUUUUAAAUAGUCUUAGCUUCAAUAUAAUUGGGAUAGUAUAAAGGGCACAAGGAAUUUAGAAUCUAGAUCAAUAAUCAUUGAAAAACAAAGACAUUCUUUUUAUUCAGAAUAUUAAAAUUAUAAAUUGUUAAAUUAAUUUUGCAUACACCCAAUCCUAGAGGAUUAAUUUUAUUUUAGAUCAAAAAAAAAAAAAAAGCAAGUCAGACUAGCUCUACAACUUAUGGAGCACUUUAUUCAUGCUCUUGAAAGUUCGCUGCUGUGAGAGAGGACCCUGAAAAUAGAUGAAUUAAAAUCAUUUCCCAAAUGUCAAAGCCAGAGAAAGCAGCAAGAGGAGUUCCAGGGUCUUCUGGACUGACCACCCUAUUUCCAUUCUCAUUGCUCCCUUACAAGGAAAGAAGCAAAAGACAAAUGAGACUGUUCAGCUCAGUUACUAGCCUCAAUCUCUGCAGCUCAUUUCUCAGUCUCAUUACAAAUUAGAUCCCUGUUUGAAAAAAAAAAAAAAUCCAUUUUAUUUACAGGACAAUAUGAAGUUGAGAAUUUCUUCUUGGUCAGCCCGAGGUUCUUUUGUUCCACAAAUCGCUUCUUUAAUAGGGCGUUACCUCUGACAGACCAUUAGCCCUGUGUCAUUGAAAAGAUUCCAGGAACACUCAGGACCCAACUUCCCUUCUUGUUCUAUGAACUCCCAAUCAGCUUUAGAAACUAGACCAAAGGCUCUGCGUAAUCCCUUUGACAUAAAGCAGUGGAAAGAAACCCUUUGGUUAUUCAUGAACAAUAACGAUAUUAAUUUACAUAGCCUAUCCUCUCUAAGUGCAAAUGAAUAUGGAGUUGAUUCAAUUAGAAACCUUACCAAAAAAGAGGCUGACAGCAAAGAAUUAGAGCCAAGAAGAUAAGAGAGGCUGUGUCUGCUUAACACCCUACCCAGAAGAUAGGUUUGUGGAGACCUCCCGGUAGACCUGAAGUUAGCAGAUACCCAUGCACCUGUGCUUUAUUUUUACAGAUACACUUCUCUACAAACCAUAUCUUACUAGCACUUUCCCAGAAAGAGUAAUCAGAAGCAGAUGCCUGUGAGCUUAACUAAUUAACUGGGCAAUUCAUCCCUCCUCUCCCCAUGAUUUUGGCUUAGGUGAGUGUUCUAUGUAUGUAUCUUGUACUGGAUUAUAAGAGAGAUGAAUAGCUCUCUUCUGGCUUUAUAUUUUUGUACAACAAUGCCUCUAAUUUAUGUAUGUGAACACUGAGUAAUAGAUGUUUAUGAAUCACACUUAGGUAAUUUGUAUAAGAAGAAGAAAACUAUUUUAAAAAUUAAAAAAGAUUCAGGAAAGCCACCCAUACUUACUACAAUUUGGGAAUCUAAAUUUACACAGAUUCAAACAGCACAUGUCCUGUGAAUCACAGACUCAAGUUACCACUUGAGAUUGACAAUGAAGAGGCUGUGACCAAGUUUUAAAUACAAAGGAAAGAUAAUUGCAAAAGUUAGAGUUAUGGAAUCUCUGUUCCACUGACAAUUCAAUUCAGACUCCCUGACAAUUAAAUCCCAACCUCACUUCAUUAGAUAUGAAUCUUGCAGUGGAAAUGAGAGGCUUUUAAAGGAGCUUUUCUGCUACAAUUAAAAAAAAAAAAAAAAAGGCUCUCACUACAGUAGAA
rnacentral:lncRNA from 1 species